GAUGAAGAACGUAGCGAAAUGCGAUAAGUAAUGUGAAUUGCAGAAUUCAGUGAAUCAUCGAAUCUUUGAACGCACAUUGCGCCCCCUGGUAUUCCGGGGGGCAUGCCUGUUCGAGCGUCAUUUCACCACUCAAGCCUCGCUUGGUAUUGGGCAACGCGGUCCGCCGCGUGCCUCAAAUCGACCGGCUGGGUCUUCUGUCCCCUAAGCGUUGUGGAAACUAUUCGCUAAAGGGUGUUCGGGAGGCUAAGCCGUAAAACAACCCCAUUUCUAAGGUUGACCUCGGAUCAGGUAGGGAUACCCGCUGAACUUAAGCAUAUCAAUAAGCGGAGGA
rnacentral:misc_RNA from 1 species